GCGCGGCACAGCGCAGCUCCCGGCCCUCGCGCGGCGGUUGUGGGGCGGCCUGGCGCGGCUCCCUCCUGCGCCCCAGGGCCGGACGCCCGCUGCAGCCAUCGCCCUGCGAGGAGGCAUUAUUAUCCCCGUUUUAUUGAUAAAGAAGCCGACGCCAGGAGGAUAAGUGACUCGCCCUGGGGCAAACCACUGGACAGGAGACGCCAGUCCGGGGGCCCGAAGCCCUCGCGCUUCCCCCUGGCUCCCGGCUCCCCCAUCCUUCACGCGCGCGUCUGGGAAACUCGCGCGGCGGAGUGGAACCAGCCUUUCGAAGUGGAAGCGGCUCUGGCUCGCAGCUUCUCCCCUGGCGGCGCUUUCUCUCUGCGCAGCGCAGACACGGGCGCCCUCGCCUGCCCCGCGCUCCUCGUCGUUCGCGGUGGAUGAGGUCGCCUGCAGAUCCGGCCGCGCCCGGGCACUGCCCAGGUGGAGGGGCGGAGAGGCCUCGGCUCUGUUUUCGUCUGGGCGUCAGGAAAUGGAGGAAGGAGCAAGGACCACUGCUCCUGUGACAGCUACACCAACAGCAUCUACACCAUCUCCAUCAGCAGCACAGCCGAAAGCGGAAAGAAGCCUUGGUACCUGGAAGAGUGUUCGUCCACACUGGCCACAACCUACAGCAGUGGAGAGUCCUACGACAAGAAAAUAAUCACUAUGGACCUGAGGCAGCGCUGCACGGACAACCACACUGGGACGUCGGCCUCAGCCCCCAUGGCUGCGGGCAUCAUUGCACUGGCCCUGGAAGCCAAGUAAGCCUCUCUCUCCGUAUGUCUCUCCACUGGCGACCACCCCUCACCCCGAGGACAGUGUACCCUCUCCCUGGUAUAUAACCCGUAGCACAACAACCCAGAUGAUAAUCUUCCCAGUCCCACCUUUAAAACUUCAUAGAUUAGGGCUUUAAAGAGAAUUUUUCCUUAUAUUAAGGAGAAAAGCAAUUUUUUUUGGUUUUUAUAUCCUUAAAAAAACCCAACUGUGUAAUUACUUUAUUGUGGAGUCAUAGUGCAUGCUGCCAAUUGGCUCCAACACUCUUGCCUUGUUGAGGUUUUAUUCUAGUCUAGGAAUGUUCCUGUGAGUCUCAGAGCGGUUAGGUCUGCCCAUUUCGGGGCCCUUUCCCUACAGAACAGCGAGGCAACUCAGAUUCCAUGACAACAGCACCCGUCACAGACUCGCCCUGGGGGGCAGAAUGUGGCAAGAUCAUAUGACAGAAGCCCAGGAACAAGGCCAACCCACUUACCUUAAAUCCUAUUUAACAUAGUAAAUUCUGCGUCUGAAAGAUCCCUUUGAAAGCCCCCUUAGGUUAUUUGCAAUAGAUCCUGUCUCUUCUUUCUCUCAGCACCAGUAGACUUUGUUUUCUUAACAAGCAUAAAUUUGCCCUAAAUACAGGUCUAUACUCUCUUACCCUGAAUUUCAAAAUCCCAAAUGCCCAGAAAACUGAAAGUUCUUUUGCAAAUUUGACCCCAAAACUCAUUUGAUGGCAAAGCUUGCCCUGAACUGAUUUGAGGCUAUUUACUGUCUUUCUUUAUUGUAAAAAUUCAUACAUUUCACUGCAGAAAUAUUAAUGUAUCUGACCAUAAGGUGCUGGCUCAAAUCGCACUAGAAGUUUGUGUAAUAUAUGCUCUGGACACCAUAUCUGAAACAAUUUUGAAUUCCAAACACAUCUGGUCCAAGGUUCUAGAAAAGGGCCUGCGGUCCUGCGCUCUGAGGCCCUCCUACAAGAGGAUUGUAACAGAAAGGAACUGGAGUGAUGAUGUAAGUGUCUUUCCAAAAAUAGCCUUGCUGCCCUGCUCUGGGGAGGAGCGGAAGGAGUCUUUCAUCUAGUUGUGCCCUGAUGUAGAGCGAUAGCAGGUGACAGGAGAAGAAUGCAAGCAUCAUAUUGAGACCCAGGUAUGUCUGUAGGACGAUAGCGCCUCAUCCUCAGGACACAAGUGUGUCCCACCGUCUACAGCUGCCCCUCUUUAAGGCAGAGAGUCUGAUAAGUCAGGUGGGCCUUAAUGUAACGUGGAUCCAGUCAACUGCUCAGCCAUGUAAAGCCCUGGACUGAGGCAGGCAGGACACAGGCUCUGGAUAUGGGCUCUCUCUGUGUGUUCGGGCCACUAUAACAAAAUACCAUAAACUGAGUAGCUGAUAAACAACAAACGUCUAUUUCUCACUGUUCUGGAGAAUGGGAAGUCCAAGGUCAAGGUGCUGGCGGAUUUGGUGUCUGGUGAAGGCCCACUUCCUAGAGGGCGCACGCAGUAGACAAAGGGGCAAGGCAGCUCUCUGGGGUCUCUUAUAACAGCACUGAUCCCAUUGAUGGGGCUCCACCCUCGUGACCUAAGCACCUCCCACAGGCCCCACCUCCUAAUACCAUCACAUUGUUGCGUUUGGUUUCAGCAUAGGAGUUUUGUGGGGAUGGAAAUGAUCAGACCGUAGUAGGUGCCAUAUCUUUUGUGGCCUCCUGCCUAAGCAUUGACAUUGAGCGAUAUCCAAGUUCCCAUGAAUGUUUGUGUUUCUUUCUUUUUUAACGUGAUUAAAUAUUAAAUCAUUUCAAUAUAUGGUAUCUUUUAAGGUGUUAAAAGUUUGGGUUUAGGGGCUGGCCCCGUGGCCGAGUGGUUAAGUUCGCGCACUCCACUGCAGGCGGCCCAGUGUUUCGUUGGUUCGAGUCCUGGGCGCGGACACG